rnacentral:lncRNA from 1 species
UCUCUUCAGUUUGGGGUCUCAAGACAGAUAAUAAAUACUUGAUAGAUUGAGUCAGGUGUACAUUCAGCAUCAUUUACCUAGGGUCUCUAGUACCAGGCACUGAACUAUGGAUGGAAAGAUUAAAGACUCUUCCCUCUUUCACAGAAUUCCAAAUUCCAGGCAAGCAAGCUGAUUGGCCAAGUUACAGUGCAAUGUGAUUGGUAUUGUAAAAACAAGGUUCUGGAGAGAAGCCCGGGUGAAGAGAGUUCUUUGGGAAGGAUUCACUGAGAAAGUCACUCCUGAGCCAGCCCAGUCUUGAAAAAUGAGGGGAGACCAGAGUUUGCCAACAGUAAUGUGUAUCGUGAAACCCAACACCCUGGUGUCCUUAGCCUUGCUAACCAUUUGUCUGAAGCCACGACUUACUGGACAGAAGGACCAUGUAGCCACUGAGGCUUGAAGAAGCUGGCGGUGGAGGCUGAACAAUAUACCUGUAUUUUUAUUUCUGUGAAACUAUUCUUGUCCUCCCUUCUCUUUCCUUGAAAAACACAUAUAUGCUCAUCCACUCCCUCCCUGCCCUGCCACACACAGUAGAGAAAAGGAGGGAUAGCUGCUCAAAUUGUUUGAGCUUAAUUCAACAGAAUUAAAUUAAUUCUAC